GACGAACGCUGGCGGCGUGCUUAACACAUGCAAGUCGAACGGAAAGGCCCUGCUUUUGUGGGGUGCUCGAGUGGCGAACGGGUGAGUAACACGUGAGUAACCUGCCCUUGACUUUGGGAUAACUUCAGGAAACUGGGGCUAAUACCGGGUAGGAGCUCCUGCUGCAUGGUGGGGGUUGGAAAGUUUCGGCGGUUGGGGAUGGACUCGCGGCUUAUCAGCUUGUUGGUGGGGUAGUGGCUUACCAAGGCUUUGACGGGUAGCCGGCCUGAGAGGGUGACCGGCCACAUUGGGACUGAGAUACGGCCCAGACUCCUACGGGAGGCAGCAGUGGGGAAUAUUGCAAAAUGGGCGGAAGCCUGAUGCAGCAACGCCGCGUGCGGGAUGACGGCCUUCGGGUUGUAAACCGCUUUCGCCUGUGACGAAGCGUGAGUGACGGUAAUGGGUAAAGAAGCACCGGCUAACUACGUG
rnacentral:rRNA from 1 species